AUACGAAGGUCCCAAGCGUUAUUCGGAAUCACUGGGCGUAAAGAGUACGUAGGCGGUUUGGUAAGUCAGGUGUGAAAUCCCGAAGCUCAACUUCGGAACUGCAUCCGAUACUGCCAGACUUGAGUAAUGGAGAGGCAGGUGGAAUUCUCGGUGUAGCAGUGAAAUGCGUGGAUAUCGAGAGGAAGACCAAUGGCGAAGGCAGCCUGCUGGACAUUGACUGACGCUGAGGUACGAAGGCUAGGGGAGCGAAAGGGAUUAGAAACCCCUGUAGUCC
rnacentral:rRNA from 1 species